AUGGCAUCUUGUGGCGGCGCGGGCGAUGACGGCGGCCGCUCACCCCCGGCGGUGGUCUACGACGACCUGGUGGAGGUGCGCGAGCACGCGGCGACGCUGCAGACCAUGCUGCAGGGGUCGCCAAGAGUGUUGGACAUGGACGCGAGGGAGCUCGUGAAGGGGAUGAUGGCCAAGCUGUCCAGCGCUAUGUCGGUGUUUGGCUCCACCAGCGGCGGUGUGGAGGCGUCUUCUGGGAGGAAGAAGAGAUCAGCCACGGCGUCCGGGCCGCACCGCCGGAGCACCUCCAGGAGAAGGUCGAAGAGCCCUUUCAUCAGCAUGGUCACUGCUAGGACGCUCAACGAUGGCAAGACAUGGAGGAAGUACGGCCAAAAAUAUAUUCAUGCCUCUACUAACCCGAGGAGCUACUACAGGUGCUCUCAUAAGCCAGACCAAGGCUGCCAGGCCACGAGGCAGGUCCAGGAAUCCGAGUCCAACCCGUCGGAGUACAUCAUCAGCUACUACGGCCAGCACACCUGCAAGGACCCUUCCACGUUUCGAUCACUCUUCAUCCAAGGCGCCGCCGACGCUGCCCCGCCAGCAGACUGCUCAAAUCUCAUCAGCUUCACGUCGAUCAACGGCGCGGCUGCGAGCACGAGCACGAGCGCUUUUGCUCAUUGUGUCGUGAAAGAAGCGGUUGAUCUUCAUCCGAUGCUUUCCUCCCGCUUCUCCAACUACAGCUCCUCGCCGCCGGUGCAGGAAGGUGUGUCCAGCGGCUCGCCGUCGCCGGCUGGCCACGGGAAGUUCAUGCAGUACGCCGGCGGGCAGCUCGUCGACGUUAUUGACCAAAGGACGUCGCCGUUGACCGUGGGAUCAGCGCCGGCGGAGUACUGGCCGGUGGCGGGGGAUGCUGGCGCGGGCAUGGACAGCUUCCCUUCCUCGCCGUCGCCGAGCAGCCUUGGGUUCAUGUCGGGCUCGUUAGGGGGCUCAUUUGGCAAUAGCAUUUACGACGACGACCUGUUCGGCUUCGAUUCCUGA
rnacentral:rRNA from 1 species